rnacentral:misc_RNA from 1 species
AAACGUCUCUUGGUCCAAUCUGUAAAAUACAGCUUUUGAAAGGCCAAGUACGACAGAGCAUACCAUGUCGUAGCAUUUC